rnacentral:rRNA from 1 species
GACGAACGCUGGCGGCGUGCCUAAUACAUGCAAGUCGAACGAACCGCGACUAAGUGCUUGCACUAAGUCAAGGUGAGUGGCGAACGGGUGAGUAACACGUGGGUAACCUACCUCAUAGUGGGGGAUAACAGUCGGAAACGACUGCUAAUACCGCAUAGGACAUAGGAUCACAUGAUCCAGUGAGGAAAGGUGGCGCAAGCUAUCGCUAAGAGAUGGACCCGCGGUGCAUUAGCUAGUUGGUAGGGUAAAGGCCUACCAAGGCGAUGAUGCAUAGCCGACCUGAGAGGGUGAUCGGCCACAUUGGGACUGAGACACGGCCCAAACUCCUACGGGAGGCAGCAGUAGGGAAUCUUCCGCAAUGGACGCAAGUCUGACGGAGCAACGCCGCGUGAGUGAAGAAGGUCUUCGGAUCGUAAAGCUCUGUUGUUAGCGAAGAACAGCGCAUAGAGUAACUGCUAUGCGUGUGACGGUAUCUAACCAGAAAGCCACGGCUAACUACGUG